UAGCAUGCAUUUGUGGUUUGACUUUUUUUUAGGACUCAGCAGAAAGGUCAGCAGGAAGGAACCCUUUCUGAGGAUAUCUUUUGGAUCUGAAGUCUGCCUUGGGAUAGGACAGGCUACCAAACGUACACGGAUUAGUAGACAGAAGAUACAGAUGCCUCAGAUUUGACAGCUGGAGCGGCCAAAUGUGAAUAAGGAGACAAGUUGCUGUAACACCCGUAAAACUGGUAAAGUCCCUCAGACCUGGAGAAAAUCCUAGUAGAUCAAAUAGUAAGAUUCCAACCUAAUUCAAACUGAACCUAAAUCUGUCCCUUUGUCUAUUUUUCUGACUAGGGUGAGGAUCUCAAACUCAGUCUGCAGCAACUCACAACACCUGAACAUACCUAAUUAACGACUUAUUUAGAGCAGCAGUGGGGAAACUCUGCUGUUUGUUUUUUUUUCUCUCAGGUGCUUCAUGCUGCUCUUGGAAGGACCCUGGUUCAGCACAAAGUGCUCUGGGUGGUGAAGCUUCUGUAGUGAUGAACAGCAGGUUGAAGGUGAAGGUCUCUGCUGCGGCUUUUCCUCUUCUCUGAGAGAGGAACCAAGAACUUCAAAGCUCCGAACUUGAGCACCUUGAGUGAAGGACACUGAUUAUGAUCUGUCUGAAAUAUCUCCAAAUUCCUGAACAACCUCCUGCUGUUAACACCAUUACCAAAGUUGGGCCCUAGAGUCCUACAGGGUCACCCAGGUAUCCUUACUGCUAUGAUAGAUUGCAUUUAUCUUGUCUCCUUCUUUGAUGAAUGCUGAGCAAUAACAGUAAAUCUUUCUCUCCUUAUGUGCAGAAUUGGUUUUCAGUUGGAGUUGAGAACCUCCAGAGUAAAUCCAAGAAACAUUUGCAGGCAAAAAACCGUGGAAGAUCACAUUGCUGCUCCAGUUGCUGGAUACUUCCAAGUGGAAGGAGUGCAAAAUCCAGUUUUGCCUGUGCCAAUCUCAACCAUGCUUAACUUAUGUUCACAGAAGAAACUGAGCACAUUUUUGGGGUAGGUGUAACAUGUACCCAGCUGGCACAGCCAUAGUGGGGCUGCCGUUAGCUCUCUCCCUUCUGCACUGAUGGACACAUCGGGGGCACUGUGAGCCAUGCUCAGUGCAGAACAGGAAUGGAUGUGAGGCUGAGGUGAAAGGGAUGAUAGAAAACUACUCAGAAAUCAAGAGAAGUUUUGUAUUUUGUGAGCCUGAUUUGCUAAAAAUGCCCCCAGAUUUUAUUCUUCAUUCAAAAACAGGCUCUCUCCUGAAUAGAAAUCUGUCUAUUUGAAGUCUAAGUGACUUUGAGAUUAAACAACAAAUUAGGUUUCUGGAUUUUCAAAUUCUAUUUUAAUUGAAUGUUCUAGCCAUGCAGUAUGUAAAGAAACUGAGAAUGUCUGAUGCCAAAUGGCACACUUAUUAUUUGAAAUUUGAUGGCAAAUUUGCCCUUAAUUUUAUCCAAUUAUAUUAAGAGGUCUUUCUGUUACAAAACAUUACAAAGCAAUACUAAGGCCAGAGAGGUGCUAGAGAAAUCUUUUUUCUGUCAUGUGGAGCACUGUACAGAAUUGCGUGGGUUUAAACAAGAUGUAUCUUGAUGUUUUACCUUAAAACUCUCUGUCCUUUUCCUCAGUUCAGCUGAAUCCUAUGAAAUAGAUACGCAGCUUGGAGUUCUUCACGCCCCCACAAAUGCUAAAAAUGGCCCUGAUACAACAUGUAUUUAUGUAACAAAAUCAUCUGCAUUAAUAUCUUCCUUUCCUUUCGGCAAGAAGCACAGGGGGGGACUCAGGCUGACACAUUUCAAUGCAGCCCCUUCCAUUCUUCUUGCAUUUGGGGCAGCAGGGACAAGCAUAGCUCUCCCCUAAAAACCAGUGAAUGCACAGGAACAUGAUAUGACUAUCAAUAGAGAGUUUGAGGGAAGAUUGUCGUCCAAGCUUUCAGGUUCUCUCCCCCUGAAUAUUCAGUUUCCUGAUACAGAUCAAAAUCACUUGUAACAAGGAUUCUGGCCGCUCUUGUUGUGCUGAUGUUCCAAAAUAAAUAAGGUAUUUGAAAUAUAAAAUUUCCUCCA
ensembl:lncRNA